UUACCGAGUGAGGGCCCUCUGGGUCCAACCUCCCACCCGUGUUUAUUUUACCUUGUUGCUUCGGCGGGCCCGCCUUAACUGGCCGCCGGGGGGCUUACGCCCCCGGGCCCGCGCCCGCCGAAGACACCCUCGAACUCUGUCUGAAGAUUGUAGUCUGAGUGAAAAUAUAAAUUAUUUAAAACUUUCAACAACGGAUCUCUUGGUUCCGGCAUCGAUGAAGAACGCAGCGAAAUGCGAUACGUAAUGUGAAUUGCAAAUUCAGUGAAUCAUCGAGUCUUUGAACGCACAUUGCGCCCCCUGGUAUUCCGGGGGGCAUGCCUGUCCGAGCGUCAUUGCUGCCCUCAAGCACGGCUUGUGUGUUGGGCCCCGUCCUCCGAUCCCGGGGGACGGGCCCGAAAGGCAGCGGCGGCACCGCGUCCGGUCCUCGAGCGUAUGGGGCUUUGUCACCCGCUCUGUAGGCCCGGCCGGCGCUUGCCGAUCAACCCAAAUUUUUAUCCAGGUUGACCUCGGAUCAGGUAGGGAUACCCGCUGAACUUAAGCAUAUCAAUAAGCGGAGGAAAAGAAACCAACAGGGAUUGCCCCAGUAACGGCGAGUGAAGCGGCAAGAGCUCAAAUUUGAAAGCUGGCUCCUUCGGGGUCCGCAUUGUAAUUUGUAGAGGAUGCUUCGGGAGCGGUCCCCAUCUAAGUGCCCUGGAACGGGACGUCAUAGAGGGUGAGAAUCCCGUAUGGGAUGGGGUGUCCGCGCCCGUGUGAAGCUCCUUC
rnacentral:rRNA from 1 species